GUGUGUGAGUGUGUGUGUGUGAGUGAGUGUGAGUGAGUGUGGUGAGUGUGUGAGUGAGUGUGUGAGUGAGUGUGUGAGUGAGUGUGUGUGUGAGUGUGAGUGUGAGAGUGUGUGUGUGUGUGGAGGUCUGGUAGAUUAGUCUGUAGGGUAAAUCCAGAGUGUUCGCCAUCCUGAAAGAUUCGAGAUGUUGUUGAGUUGAACAAACAGGUGCCACCAGUUCCACAGUUCAGACGAGCUGCUUGGGGCAAAAUGACUCCUCUGGAAAGAUAACCGCAUCCCAGCAAAACUUCUUCAUGGGUGCGUUUAGGAUCGUCGUGGCUUUGUUGUUGCAGGUGACUCUGUGUUUGACUUUCUGUCUGAUUACAAAACCUCACUUGGCGUGUUCGAUCCUGCUCAGUGGAUCAUGACAGGGAUAAACCUUGGCCGCUGUGUGUUACAGACGUCCCAUGGUGAACCUGACUGAAGCAAUUUGCUAGCUGUUUAUAAGUAAACAUCAAAGUACAGUGUCUGAGCCUGG
ensembl:lncRNA